rnacentral:lncRNA from 1 species
CUCCUCUGAAACUACUGGGCCAAAUUAAUCCAAACUUGGCCACAAUCAUCUUUUGGGUUAUUAGUUUGAAAAAUGUGUCUGGUGACCCGGCCAUCAAACCAAGAUGGCCGCCAUGGCUAAAAAUAGAACAUGGGGUAAAAUGCAGUUUUUGGCUUAUAACUCAAAACCCUAAGCAUUUAUAGCAAAUCUGACAUGGGGGUAAAAUUGUUUAUCAGUUCAAGAUCUAUCUGCCCUGAAAUUUUCAGAUGAAUCGGACAACCAGUUGUUGGGUUGCUGGCCCUGAAUUAGUAAUUUUAAGGAAAUUUUGCUCUUUUUGGUUAUUAUCUUGAAUAUUAUUAUAGAUAGAGAUAAACUAUAAACAGCAAUAAUGUUCACCAAAGUAAGAUUUACAAAUAAGUCAACAUGACUGAAAUAG